GUGGUAAGUUAUUAACAGUGUUCAUCGCCUCACUUGUAAACAUUAAGUCGACCAAAAUGUGUUAAUUAAAAUACAAACUUGGAGGAUUUAAUACUUCACUACGUCACUUUUACGGCUCCAAUUGGUUGUUACUGUAGUGUUAAGACAACUACCAUAUUGCUGCCUCGCUGAUCAUCAUUAAUGAAGUUCCUCGUGUCAUUCGUCGAGGACGGUGACGUGAAGAUGUAAGAUGUGGGCCACAAGACGAAGGUUUGUUUUGGUUAACGGGUCUCUUGCUGCACCACAUUGGAAACUUUCUGCUACAGGUUGUACCUCUCUAGUCCGGCAUUCUGUGGUCCGGAAACUCCCGGGGUCCGGAACGAUUUUAGUUUGUCCAAUAGGUAGA